rnacentral:rRNA from 1 species
AUACGUAGGGGGCGAGCGUUGUCCGGAAUGAUUGGGCGUAAAGGGCGCGUAGGCGGCGCGGUAAGUCUGGAGUGAAAGUCCUGCUUUCAAGGUAGGAAUUGCUUUGGAUACUGCCGCGCUUGAGUGCAGGAGAGGUUAUCGGAAUUCCCGGUGUAGCGGUGAAAUGCGUAGAGAUCGGGAGGAACACCAGUGGCGAAGGCGGGUAACUGGACUGCAACUGACGCUGAGGCGCGAAAGUGUGGGGAGCAAACAGGAUUAGAUACCCUGGUAGUCCACACUGUAAACGAUGAAUGCUAGGUGUAAGAGGUAUCGACCCCUUUUGUGCCGGAGUCAACACAAUAAGCAUUCCGCCUGGGGAGUACGGCCGCAAGGUUGAAACUCAAAUGAAUUGACGGGG